AACAAUGCAAAAUCCUUUUAAUUGUUGAAGCUUUGACAAUUGGGGUUGGAGCAUCUUGUAGGUGACAGGGAGGUUUCUCCUCUGCAUUCCUUCCCUGAGGAGGUGACACAGAGCCCAUGAGGGUCCCGUGGCUUGUUGAAGUGGAAGGGUUCAUGAGGUGCUCUCAGCAGGGGCACCAAGGCCCUAGGGGCAAGGACCUGCCUGUCCCAGCAUCUUCUGAUAAUGGGCACAGUAUUCUCUUUUCUUCCUAGCUCCCAGGGGAGAAGCAAGCUGGAAGAAUGACUUUAUGACAUUUGCCAGUAAAUGGAUGGAUCUGGAGACUAUCAUGCUAAGUGGAAGAAGCCAAUCUCCCCAAAACAAAUAGAAUAGGCAUAGAAUUUGCCUUCUUCACUCUGGGCCACCCUGGGCUAAAACUUCAUGCAGAUUCGAAAAACCAUCUAGCAUUUUUGGAAAUAAGCCACCUGGAAAGAAAGAUGCCUUCCUGUGAUCAGGUCUGCCUGAGACGAUCCAAUCUCUAGGGGAGUGUCCCUGGGCUUGACUUUAUUAUAUACUAUUUAUUGGGCCACAGCCCAGCCACUGUGGAAUUACAUGUUAGCUUGCAGAAUUUUGGCCUCGUAAAAAAGACAACCUCCAAAGAUUAUUAUAACUUCAUUGCUCUGUGGGACCUUGAGCAGGUUUGUUAUGCCAGCAUUUCUUUUAAAAAUGCCUCUAAAUAUUCAGUUCCUAGGAUGCUCCUGGAAGCUGCAUGGCCACCUCACAUGCCCCCUGAUAAGUGUCGUACAAAAUCCUAAAUCCCAACGCACACUCAGUUCGUGCUGCACUCCCACUGUGGUUUUAAACUACGACUGUAGAUUAAAACUACACUGAGAUGUCAUCUCACUCCAGUCAGAAUGGCAAUGAUAAAGAAUACAAGUAACAAUAAAUGUUGGCGAAGAUGUGGGGAAAAGGGUACAUUUAUAUACUGCUGGUAGGACUGCAAACUGGUACAAUAUGGAGAUUCCUCAAAAAACUAGGGAUGGAACCAUCAUUUGACUCAGUUACACCACUUCUCAAUUUAUACCCAAAGGACUUAAAAUCUGCAUACUACGGUGACACAGCCACACGGAUGUUUAUAGCAGCUCAAUCACAACAGCUAAGCUAUGGAACCAACCUAGGUGCCCUUCAACAGAUGAAUGGAUGAAGAAAAUAUGGUAUAUAUACACAAUGGAAUAUUACUCAGCCAUAAAGAAGAAUGACUUUAUGACAUUUGCCAGUAAAUGGAUGGACCUGGAGACUAUCAUGCUAAGUGGAAGAAGCCAAUCUCCCAAAAAACAAAGGUUGAACGUUCUCUCUGAUAUGAGGACAGUAACACACAACCAAGGGGAGGAGAGGAAGAAUAGAAGUUCAUUGGAUUAGACAAAGGGGAAUGAAGGGAGGGAAGGAGGGAUGGGAUUAGGAAAGACAGCAGAAUGACUCGGACAUAACUCUUGUAUGUUCAUAUAUGAAUACGUUUCACCAGUGAAACCACAUCAUGUACAACCCCAAGAAUGGGAAGUUCUAUUCCAUGUAUGUAUAAUAUAUCAAAUUUAUUCUAGUAUCAUGUAUAUCUAAAA
rnacentral:lncRNA from 1 species